AAAAUUUUGUACCAAAAAAUUUAGUUCCCUCCGUAUGUUUAUAUUCCCCACAAACAUUUUAAAGGAAAAAAUAUUUGGGCGGCCCUAAAUUUUCAACCCGAUGUAAUUUUCUAAAGUUCUCGCUGCGCCAUUGCUUUGUUAACUCCUCUCUUUGCGCCAUUGCUCUAUUAACUGCUUCUCUUUGCCUUUAGACCCAGCUCUACCAGUUCCCUUUGAAUCUAUUAGGUAAGAUCUACUGUCUUGAUUUUAGGUUGCAUCUACCAAGUAUUUUGUUGAAUAAUGUUUGUUUGAUUCGGAUUUGUCGCAUGUAAUUACCCUAGUUUUGUUCGAUUUGAAUUUGUCUCACAUAAUUACCCUAGUUUUGUUUGAUUUGGAUUUGUCUCAUGAAUUACCCUAGUUUUGUUUGAUUUGAAUCUCAAUAUGUGUGUUGGUUGUUGGAUUUGUUGUGGUUGGUUAUUGGUUUUUGUGGCGGUGGAGGAGAAUUGGAUUGGCUAAAAAGUGGAAUUUUAGGGGAUUGGAGAGUAAUUUGCAUUCUUGUUUGGAUUUGAUUAGUGGAAGUACUACUUUGAUUAGGUAUACUUUUGAUGAAAUUAAGGUGGCCAUGAAGAAUUUCUCUAGGGUAAAUAUCGUUGGGACAGGAGGGUAUGGGAGUGUGUACAAGCAGUGUUCUGGAACUUGAGCUCAUCAUCGCAUUAUAUGCAAUGUGAGGCUUUCCCUCUGCGACUAACUGAUGCGAGGGUAUUUAACAAACACGGGCGCAUAACCCUGUGAUGUGAGAUAUGAGCCGAUGCGCUAGUAAGGUGUACUGUGUGAGCAAGCAACCUUUCUUUUCCCCAAUUCAGAGUUCAAACCAAUUUUCUAAUAAGUUAUUACUAAGAAGACAAGGUUGCAUUUGUCUGUUCUUGGACAUAUGAAAAAUGUUGUGAUGUAUUUUUAUUCUUGGCUUUUAGUUGGUUGUGAUAUAUUUAUAUUUAUGUAGUUUGAUAUAUUCUUGUGUGUGUGUGUACAGUAUACUAUUGUGCAGAUGAAACUGUGUUAUUUGUAAAUGUUAAAAGCUUAUGGUUGCAUCAUAACAUGAAAAGGAUAUGCUAGUGUAGUUGUUCUUUGAGGUGGUAGGUAGCUAGGGAUACUUUUGUUGUUUAUUCUUGGUUUUUAGUUGGUUGUGAUCUUGUUUUAUGCAGUUAGAUAUGUCUUGCUAAAAGGGUAUCUAUAUAUGCUCUUAUAUGUACAGCUUACUGUGGAGAUGAUCAAGCAAAUAAAAGAAAAAUGUUCUUUAUAACAGUUCAAGAUUCUUGUUGCACACACAGAAGAUGAAACUUUUUUGUGUGAUGAGCUAUGAUAACAUGAAAAGGUUAUACUAGUGUAGUUGAUUUUGAGGUGCUAGGUUGUUUAUUCUUGACUUUUUAGUUGUUUUUGAUUUUUUUAUGCUGUUUGAUAAGUACUGUUAAAAGGGUAUCUAUAUUUUUAUUCUCUUUUUUCUUCCUGUAUACUGUUGUUGCCAAGAUGAUUAAGCAAAUAAAACAGUGUUCUUUAUAACUGAAAAAGAUUCUGGUUGCAUGAUACAUGAAAAGGAUAUACUAGUGUAGUUUCUUUGUUGGGUAACUCCAGCAUCCUACCUAUGACAAGGCCUCCGAGUGGCUCGGGUGUUCCUGGUAGGAGUCAUGAUCGAACAUGCCGCUUGCUUGGUGGGCUUAGUUUAGAAAUAAAAUUGCGCUUGCUAUUAGUUAUAGCUUUUGGCAUGAUGGUAAGCGCUUGAUCCUAACAAAGUUCUUCAUGUCUAAAAGUGAUAAAAAAGUAGUCACCGACCUGUAGUAUGCCAGCUCUUUUGAGUUAUGUAAUUAAAGAAACCACUUAAAGAAAUUCCCACCUCUCGUUUCCCACUCUUUCGGCGCUUUAAGGUUGAACCACUUUCUUGGGACUUGCAUCUCAAAAUUCCCAUAGGAGCAGCACGGGGCUUGGCUAUUUUACAUACUUCAGAAAAGAAAGUUAUAUACAGAGACUUCAAAGCAUCAAACAUACUGCUUGAUGGGGUAAGGUCUUCUUCCAUUUUAUCAGGUUCGCUACUUACUUACCUAGUGUGUUACCCAUGUAUUUGAACAUAUAUGUUUUGACAAAUUUUCAUGAAAAGUUUCUUCUGUCUUUUUUCUCCAAAUGUAUUAUACAUCUAUAUUUGUCUAUCCAUUGGAUAUUUUUGCUUUGCACCUUUUGCUUGUAGAAUUAAAAUGCAAAAAUAUCAGAUUUUGGAUUAGCUAAACUGGAGCCUUCUGGUAGUAACUCACACAUAGCUACUCGUGGUAUGGCCACAUAUGGUUAUGCUUCUCCAGAAUAUGUUGAAAUCGGUGAGCAUCUUUUUUUUAGACCUUAUUAUAUGUGUCUAAUCUAAAAUCUACAUUACAGAACUAAGUUGAAUGGCUAAAUCUAACCUUGAUAAGAUGUUGCUUUGGGGUGUAACCAUGGCGUUCUAUCGGUUAGUUGGUUGAUGAAGUUUUCCUGUUUGUUAUAUUUGUUAUCUAUUUUCAAUUCAAGAUUUCUUCAUCAUGACCAAAAAUUGACCUCAAGAUAUUCUAACAACUGAUUGUUCCUAUAUGUCAACAAAUUAGCACACUAGCUUCUCUGUUAUUUCUUGCCUUUAGAUAUUCGCCACUAGCAUUAACUUGGCUGUAAAACUUGCAUUCUUGUUUUCUUAAAACUGGGGUAUCUGUUCAGUUUCAUAAGUCUGCGGGAUCCUCUGCUGCACACUUGAUAUCUCUAUCUCAAUAUCCAAACCUUACCAUUACUUACAAUUUUGUAUGAGCAGUGCGGACCAAUAUGGGAGUCGGUUCAUUCAACAAAAACUCGAGUCUGCUACCACAACAGAGAAAAACAUGGUCUACCAAGAAUUUAUGCCGCAAGCCCUUUCGUUGAUGACUUAUGUGUUUGGUUCUAUUGGACAAAAGUGAUGUGAAUCAAAUGAAUAGGUUGUGUAACUUUCUUCUUGCCUUCUGCUAUUCACAUUUUCCAUAUUUUUGAGCAUGGAAGUUCAUCCCAGAUAAGAGAACUGGCUCAGCUCAACGGGUACAGUGAUGUUACUAUCAUGUUCUCUGCUCCAAUCCUUUCAAUUUCUUAAGGUAUCUGAUUCAAAAUAAUAUAAUUUUCAUGUCUUCAAAUCUCGCUCUCAUUUUGUUAUUUUUAGGUUUGUCUGUCUUAAACUAGGGGAGUUAACCGAGUUGCUGUUGUUUGAAAUUGUGAACUAGUCCUAUUCCACAGUCAUUUAGUGCAAUAAUUCUAAUGCUUGAAUUUCACAUUGCUAGUUCUGGUUUAUGUGAUAUUGUCUUAUAUUGUUCUUUUUUUACAUGCCAUUUGACUGGUCUUGGUGAGACUCAGAAUUAUAUUGCCAGAAUGGAUAGAGUCUGGUAGAGCUUUCGAUAACUCUCAAAUGUUGCUUUCUAUUCCAAUAUUGGAGUGCGAUAGUAUUCAUAUCUCACCCCGUCACUUGGUGUUGGAGUGCGACAGUGACACGGGCUUGUAUGAAACUAUCUAGUCAGCUAGUCUUUUUCCUGCAAGAUAACAUAAUUAAGAGCAGGCAAAGCUCACAGACAUUCUCCAAAUGAAAUUUAUAACCAGUGUAACUAAAUGAAAUUUAUAACCAGUGUACAAAUUGAAAUAGCAGUUUACAAAACUUUUAAUAUAUUUUUUUCCCAGUGAAAUUUAUAACCAAAUGUAACUAAUUGUAAAUGCUUCUUUUCACCUUCAACGGAAUAUUCUCCAAAUGCCCACUUAGUUUUCUAUUUUCUUUUUCAGAAAAUUGCUACUGUGUGUUUUUAGGGAAAGUUAAUUUAUUUAGUUCCCAGACAUGCAUUUACUCUUGGGUGUUUUAGUUGAGGAGCGAAUUAGGAGUUUUUGUCAUGGAAUUUGCUUCUCAGAUUCAAUUACUUGAUUUAUUCAAUGGCAGUUGGACAUUUUGAAUCUUCUUUACAUCCUCCAGUAUCAAUGAGCUAUUGAGGAUUCCAGUGUUCAUUUAACAAGAAUUUAUCACUUUCAAGUAAUCUUAUUCAAGGCACCUUGAAAGUGCAAAAAGGUAGAAACAAAUAGAAGCCAUGGUAGCUAGAUAUAAAAUCAUGAUUUACGCUUUCAUGGAAUCAAUUUACCCUAAUAUAACAAGAUCUCAACAUUUGCAGAGUAAUAUUAGGAAACAGGAUAUUAAACCCAUAUCUUGACAAGGUGCAGGUUUAGGAAUUGCUAGAUACUUCCUUUGAUGAAGAAAAGGGAAAGUUCUGUCGAAAGUUGAAGUAUAAUUCAAGUGACUAGAACUCGAUAGAUGUUGAAUUGUUAAGUUUGAUCCUUCACAGAUAAACUGGGACAAAACAUAUGGAUAGGGUGUGAAUUGUGAUUGUGUUGAACAAAAGUUUUGUUACUACAGAUACUAAUGUGGAGGGUGGAGGAAAUAUGGAAGGGUGUGAGGGACACGUAUAUGUGAUGUUCGCAAACAUUUAUAAGUUGAGCAACCAUUUGGAUCAUCAUAUCUAUCUCCUACCCUUCUGCCACCUUUUCAUAGUGAAUCCAUUCUGGCCUUAAAUUUUCACAUACAGAGAUGCAACUUUUAUAUGGAAUUUGUUGAUUGUCUAAUAGAAAAUCUUCAGCAGCUUGAAAAUCGGAAGCAUGAGCUUGAGUCUCAGGUGUAUACAGGAAGGUUGAAGAAAAUUCUUAAUGCAGUUAAGAAGCAUGAAGAAGAACUGAAAUGGAUGAAAGAAGAAUAACGCAAGAUGGAAAAUAAACUUCAACGUUCCAGAGAUAAACAUGGCAAUCUGCAAAAAUAAAUCGAUAAAGUAGAAGACCAACUGCGUGAGUUGAAGGCUGAGAGACAUGAAAAUGAGAGAGAUAUCAGAUUGUCUCAAGCAGUUGAAACUCUGAAGAGUCUAUUUCCUGGUGUUCAUGGUCGAAUGACAGAUCUUUGCAGGCCAACACAGAAGUAUAACUUUGUUGUAACAGUUGCAAUGGGCAGAUAUAUGGAUGCAGUAGUAGUUGAGGAUGAACAAACUGGAAAAGAAUGCAUCAAGGUGCGAAAGCAACUGUCAUAGUAGUGAUAGUUCCAAUAUCUAGUUAGUAGUGAUACAUUUGGUUUUGUGCGGAACUUGGUACAAAUUUUUGUUAUGUUGUUUUCUAAUGGUAUGUAAAAGACUAUGUUUUUUUGAAAUCAAAUCGAUGCACUUCAAUUAGUUAUUAGCUAAUUGGUGCGUGAGAUUAUAUAUAAAUAUGUGUUUAUGUAA